rnacentral:rRNA from 1 species
AUUGAACGCUGGCGGCAUGCUUUACACAUGCAAGUCGAACGGUAACAGGCCUUCGGGUGCUGACGAGUGGCGAACGGGUGCGUAAUGCAUCGGAACGUGCCCAGAGGUGGGGGAUAACGCAGCGAAAGCUGUGCUAAUACCGCAUGUGAUCUGAGGAUGAAAGCGGGGGACCAGGCAGCAAUGUUUGGCCUCGCGCCUUUGGAGCGGCCGAUGUCAGAUUAGGUAGUUGGUGGGGUAAAGGCCUACCAAGCCGACGAUCUGUAGCUGGUCUGAGAGGACGACCAGCCACACUGGGACUGAGACACGGCCCAGACUCCUACGGGAGGCAGCAGUGGGGAAUUUUGGACAAUGGGCGCAAGCCUGAUCCAGCAAUGCCGCGUGCGGGAAGAAGGCCUUCGGGCUGUAAACCGCUUUUGUACGGAACGAAAAGGCUCUGGCUAAUACCUGGGGCUGAUGACGGUACCGAAAGAAUAAGCACCGGCUAACUACGUG